rnacentral:lncRNA from 1 species
GCCUACUUGAGUCGGGCUUUAUGAAUCAGAAGAGUCAUUGAGCUCGAUGUGGAAUAUUUUGGACCUCUUUGACCCCUAUAUAUAGAUCUGAAUAGGAUGCAAAAAUGGGAUCCAUACGUUGAGAAUCCAAAGCAUAAACUAAAUUUUCAGAGGCUAUAACCUAGUCAUAUGGCAUUCGAUUGAGAUGAUUUUUUUAAUUACAAUCGGCUAACUUUUUGAGAUCUAUGAUGUGAGAUGCUUGGAGGAAUGGGGCUCGGUUCAUAGCAAUGAGGGGCUUCUAGGAGGUGGCAGG